rnacentral:lncRNA from 1 species
UUUAAAUGAUAGUUUGACACAGCUUCUAAUUUUGAUCAUACCAUGGAAUCAUUACAGUAAUCAAAAGAAAACACUGGAAAAAGAUUAAAACUCAGAGACAAGACUUAAAAACCAGGAGAACUGAAAAGAUGACUGAAGAGGCUUACCAGGAGUUGAGAUGAGGUUGAGACACCUGGAGACCCUCAUGAAAUAAUGUGGUGGGUGCCAGGACACAACUCUUUUAAGAGAUUAUGCAGCUGCUAUAAAAUCCUGGAGGGAACUGGCAGAUAUGGGUAGGAGAACAGCUUUCUCUUGAAGGUGGGUAGCUGGUGAGGUUAGAGUCAUUACUAAAAGUGCAUUGUAUUGUGAAAUUUUGUGAUAGAUGUGCAGCCUACUAUUAUAUCUGCCCGCAAAAAUCACCAGCAGCUCAUGCGCCCUCAUCGUAUUUACAUUAAAAUGACUAAGACUGGGACUUUU